rnacentral:rRNA from 1 species
GUUAUAGGGUCAAGCGAAUAAGAGCAUGUGGUGGAUGCCUUGGCAAUGAUAGGCGACGAAGGACGUGAUAGCCUGCGAUAAGCUUCGGGGAGCUGGCAAAUUAGCUUUGAUCCGGAGAUUUCCGAAUGGGGAAACCCACCGAAAGGUAUCGUUAACUGAAUACAUAGGUUAACGAGGCGAACCGGGUGAACUGAAACAUCUCAGUAGCUCGAGGAAAAGACAUCAACCGAGAUUCCGAAAGUAGUGGCGAGCGAAAUCGGAGAAGCCUGUUAGUGAUAGCAAGACUCUUAGCAGAACAGCCUGGAAAGGUUGGCCAUAGCGGGUGAUAGCCCCGUAUGUAAAAAGAGACUUGUGAUACUAAGCUAACGAAAAGUAGGGCGGGACACGAGAAAUCCUGUCUGAAUAUGGGGGGACCAUCCUCCAAGGCUAAAUACUCAUCAUUGACCGAUAGUGAACUAGUACCGUGAGGGAAAGGCGAAAAGAACCCCGGGAGGGGAGUGAAAUAGAUCCUGAAACCGCAUGCUUACAAAAAGUAGGAGCCUCGCAAGGGGUGACUGCGUACCUUUUGUAUAAUGGGUCAGCGACUUACAUUCAGUGGCAAGCUUAACCGAAUAGGGAAGGCGUAGGGAAACCGAGUCCGAAUAGGGCGUCUCAGUCGCUGGGUGUAGACCCGAAACCAAGUGAGCUAUCCAUGGCCAGGAUGAAGGUGCAGUAACAUGCACUGGAGGUCCGAACCCACUAGUGUUGCAAAACUAGGGGAUGAGCUGUGGAUAGGGGUGCAAGGCUAAACAAACUUGGAAAUAGCUG